UGGUGGAGUGAUUUGUCUGGUUAAUUCCGUUAACGAACGAGACCUCAGCCUGCUAACUAGCUACGCGGGGAUUUGUCCUCGUGGCCAGCUUCUUAGAGGGACUGUUGGACGACUAGCCAAUGGAAGUCUGAGGCAAUAACA
rnacentral:rRNA from 1 species